rnacentral:lncRNA from 1 species
GGGGGCGCGGCUUUGUGGCGGCCGCGGACCGCGGAGGCCCGGCGCAGCCCCGUCGGCUCGGCGCUCUCCGCAGAAAGGCUCUACGCCCCUGCCCAUCCCUCGGAUCUGGUCUGGGGAGGGCCGGGGUUGCUGCUGGAAGCCCCCCCCACCCCCCAGCCGUGCUCCGCCGCCGGGAAGGAUUCGAGGCUGGGCUCCGAGCGAGGCGGAGGCUGCAGGGCCCCGGGCGCACCCCGCCCCGCGCACGCCGCCGGAGCCCUGGCAGGCGCAGCCCCGGGGGCUCCCUGCACCCGCGGGAGGCGGCUGCGAGAUCUGCCAGAAAUGUUGGUGAAUGAAAUGUGGAUGGAUGGCAUCAAGGCCAGAGGAUGCAAAAGGCCCUAGUUUUGAUAAAAAAAAGAAAAAAAAGAAAAAGAAAAAGCCAGCUUGGCUUGGCACCCUCCUUCCUGCCAGUCAGGGGACUGCAAAGCUGUUUCCAGAGCGCGGCUGAUGAAUUGAGGGAGGAGCAACAGGACAGUGCCAGUCGCCUCUCAGGGCUGCGCUAACAUAAAACCAAACAACUUGAAACUGUUCCAAGGGAGCGGAUUAAGGCAACAUGUUAUUCUGAGUGAUUGCUUAAUUUAUUGAGCUGCGGCUAGAUCUGUAAUGAAAUACAGCCCUUGUAACUGAUCACCUCCUACUGCAAUUGGACUUCUACAAUUAAGGGAUAUUUUCCCAGAGUUUCUCUCGAAGUGCCUGGAAUUUGUGGCCUCUGUGGUGGGGUGCUUCUGGCCGCGCAUGCUCCAGGCAAGCUUUUUUUUGGUUUGUUUUAAAGAGCAGCAGGUUGAUGUUAAUAAAGAAAAUAAGCAGCAUUUUACUGAGUGCCAUGUGUACAGCAGGUGGCUUAUAUACAUUUGCUCUGACCCCCUCCAUUUCCCAGUGAAAUAACCCUCACUAUUCCGUUUUACAUGGGAAGACAUGAGACAUGAGGGAAUUUUUUAGAGCAAGGCCCUCUAAGCCACACGUGACUAUUCGUGUCAAUUAGGUCAAGUUGAUUGCGUCUGAAAACGCACCCUUUGGGGGUGCAUGAGCAAUGAGUUCAAGUGCCAACCCUGCCAGACUGGGGGGCUGGUGGCCACCAUAUUGGAUGGUGUGCAUAUAACUCGUUUUUGAUGAUUAUAGAUCUAUUGCUCCGAGGUUGGUUCUAUAGAUCCAGAGAUUUCAUGGCAAGAAAUGGGCAGCUUCAGAAUUCAAAGCCCUAGUUAAUGGGCUUUGACCGUAAGCUUGUCUGCCACCCCUUACUUCCUUCUCCCGCACCAGGGACCCUCAGCCAGGCUGCGUGUUAAAAUUACCUGGAUCUUUCGGGUUGUUUUUAUUUUUGUUUGAGACAAGGUCUCACUAUGUAAUUCAGGCUGGCCUUGAACUCAUGCUGAUCCUCCUCCCUCAGUCUCCCAAGUGCUGGGAUUACAGUCAUGGAAUGGGGUGGGGGGACCUUUGCUUGUAGAAUAGCCUUUGUUACACUGUCAUGGAAGAAGCUAGAUAUAUCAUGGAGAUGACGUGAGAACCCUGUAGCUCCAAAUUGAAUUAGCAGCAUCAGGAGGAACGCAGGCACUCUCUCUCUCACUUUAUAAAGUGGAGCAUGGGGUUGCAGGUUCUGUCCACUGAGGUUAGAGACCACGACCAGUCACAGCGAGGACCCAGCACCAGGGUACGGUCCCUAAACACCUCUUUUAAUCAGCAUUCAAGGCCCCCUGGGCAAAUGGCCAAUUCCACAUCUGAGCCAAGAAAUGUUCCAGUGAGCCUGAGAUGUCUUUGUUUGUUUGUUUGUUUGGCUUUUGAGCCAGGGCCUUCCUUCCUUUAUAGUUUAGGCUGGCUUCGAACUGACUCCGGAGCCCAGGGUGGCCUCAAAUUCACGGCAGUCCUCCUGCCUCCAGCUCCUGAGUGCUGGGAUUUACAGGCCUGCGACACCACACCCAGCUGAGCCUUGACUAUCUUGUCACUGGGAAGCAGGAAAGCUGUUUCAACUGCUGGAGUCACAUCUGAAAGGAUGCAGGAGACAGCAUGAAAAGAUUCUCAUUGGCCAAAAAUGACAAUUUGAGCAUUAUUAGGAAUACUAACUAUAGCCAGAUGUGGUGGCACUCUGGGAGGCUGACGCAGGAGGAUUACAAGUUUGACCCCAGCCUAGGUAAUUUAACAACUUAAGACUCUGUCUCAAAAUAAAAAAUAUUAUAAAAGGGCUACACAUGUAGCUCAGUGCAAAGGCCCUGGGUUCAACCCAUAGUUGAACCAAAUAAUGAUAAUAAUAAUAAUAAUAAUAAUGCAAACCAAAUAAUAAUAAUAAUAAUUACAGUGUAUUAAACAUUUCAACUUCAUGUCCAAACAAUGAGUUCACCAUGAUGCUGGAGCACAAGAAAAACAUAAACUUACUCAUCACCAAGCCUCGCAUUUUGGAAACUGUCAAAGGAAAAGAAUCUAGCAUUUGGGCCGAGGAUUUAGCUCUGUGGUUCCACUGCCUGCCUUGCAAGUGCAAGGUCCCAAGUUCGAUCCUCAGUACCAAAAAAAAAAAAAAAAAGAAUCUAGCAUUUGUCCUUUUUGGAUGACCCAUACUCUAUGGAAGCCAAGCGAUGGAUAAAAUGGUGUGCUUUAUAGAAGUAUUUCCACUAACCAAGACAGACAGAGAUUAGGAUGCCACUGGUUUUUAGUCUCUAGGGGAGUGACAGGUCUGGACAGUGAUCAGCAGCAGCUAACAUCACAGAGGAAAAUCAGGUCUUGACCUCCAAAUCAGCUACUAGGAAGCAGACAAAAAAAUGCAUCUUUGUGAGCUUCCAGAUUGAACUAGCAAUACAGGAGGGAGAGGAGCAGAUAUAACACCUUUAUGAGGAUGCAAUAAGCAAAAUCCAGACUAUAGGACACAUCAUAGAGCAUCCAACCCAGUUUCUUCAGUAAACUGUAGGGAAAGAGAAAGGAAGAUGAAAGAGAGGUGUACGAGACACAGCAACCAAUCACAAUAUAUGAGCUUUAUUUGCAUCCUGAUCUUACCCAGUUGUGAGAAAACAUUUAAAAGAAAGCUAGAUAAAUGUGAAUCCUGACCAGAUAUAGUAUUUGCUGAUAUUAAAAGAUUUACUGUUUUUUGUGGGGUUUUUUUUGGUACCAGGGAUCAAACUCAGGACCUUGCACUUUCGAAGCAGGCACUGGAACCACUGAGCUAAAUUCCCAGCCCCCUUUACUGUUAAUUUCAAUAGUGGUAAUGGUAGUAAAAAACCCCCAAAACCUAAUUAUCAGCUGGGCAUGGUGGCACACACCUGUAAUCCCAGCACUCUGGGAGGCCGACACAUGUGAGUCUCAGGUUUGAGCCCAUCCCGGGCAACUUAGCAAGACAGUGUCUCCAACAAAACGAAACAAAAAAUACCCUACUUCUUUCUUGGGAGUUAUCUUUGGAAAUAUUUGCCAAAGAAAUGAUUGAUAUCUGGAUUUCCUUAUGAAGGGGAAGGAAGUGCCAUGGAACAAGAUUGGCCCAGGGUUAGUGACUGCUGUAGCUGGCUUUGCGGUACCAGAUGCUCUAUUCCUAUGUGUGCUUGAAGCUUUUCAUAAUAAAAAAAAAAAAAAGAAGGAAAAUCAGGCUUUCCUUGCCCUUUUCUUUUCUUUUUUCUUUUUGGUACCAGGGGAUCGAACUCAGGACCUUGCGCUUGUGAGGCAGGCAUAGAAACACUGAGCUAAAUACCCAACCCUCCCUCCCCUUUUAUUUCUAGAUACUGUCCACCCCACUGCUAGCAUCUCUGGCUGCGACCAGCCUGAGGAGCAGGCUUGGGUUAUACCUUCAAGCAGCCCAUCCCAUCUCCAUGGCAACCAACAUCCAGAAGUCUCCAUCCACACUAGGGUCAGGCCAGGCCAGGUUGCCAGUGCUGUGCCAGGAUGCACAGAGCUGCUCCCUUUGGGAUUUUCAUAGGGGACCCCCCAGCUGAGCAGCCUCUCUGUGCCCCCAUCCCCCUCAUUCUUGCCUUCCCCCCUGCAGCCCCUAAGGAAGCAGUGGUCAAUUGGUGGAGAGAAUAGACCCUGAAUCAGAUCCAGGUUCAAAUUCUGACUCCACCACUUAACAGAAGAACUUUAGCCCCCAUGUGCCUCAGUUUCCUUGUCUGUAAAAUGGGUAUAACUGGACCUCAACUAACUCAAUAAAUUGUUAUUAUGGGAGGGAUAGUGGCAAAAAGGACCCAGUCUCCACUUCCUGGAACUAGACUGUUGGUGGUGAAGGGUGAUUUCAGGACAGUUCAAGUGCUGUGAUAAUGUACACGGUGUAGAACUGGAGAAGCAAGGGUGCUUGGUCCUACCCCAACUUUUAGAAAAACUGGCAGUCGCUACAUAGGAGAAACCCUAACUCCCAAUCCUACUUUCACGUGCCAGAAUUGCCAUGCUUUUUGACAACUCAGUGUGUAGCGAUGGAAAAUGCGCAGAAUACGCAGUGCUCAAGAUUCCGUUUCCGGGAGGUCAGGACAGCUCCUCUCAUCUGCUGAGGACGACGCUGGGCUGGGCGCGGAGAGCAGAGGAAGCUUCCACAAGGCCCCGCCUUCUGUGCUCAGGCUCUGCUCGCUGCUUAAGCUUUGAAACAGGAGGACAUCAUAGUGCCAGGAGGUUAAAAUCUCCCCAGGUCCAACUUUACUUUGCAAAUGAAGAAAAGUAGCCCAGAGAGGCCUGAGGCAACACAGUGAAUCACCGCUCCUUGGAAAGAAAGUACGAGGAUGCAGCAGGGAAGCCGGCUCCUACCGCUCCAAUUAAUCCUGUCCCUGAGUAGGGAGCGGAGACAACCACGCCAGCUUCCCUGGGACUGAGGACUUCUGGGAUUGAGGAUUGGGGGCACUACACCAGGACGAUUCGGGGCUACCCUCCCAUGGGAUGGGGGGCUUUAUUUUCUCUCUGCCCCACAGACCAGGGGCGUCAAAGUGGAUGUUUUCCAAGAAACAAGGCUCUGGUGGAGCUGGUGAGCCGUGGGGCUUCAUGCCUGGUCCCCGAGGGACUGCCCACGUGGCGCCUGGGUGGCCUCAGAAGUGGCCCGUGGCCCAGCCUCCCUCCCUUCUGUUCCGCCCCAGCAGACAACUGCUCUUCCAAACCGUCACCCUAAUCACCCUGCUGUAGUUUACAGACCUCCAUGGUUCUCGUGCCCAUCACGUUAAGAAGAACUCUGCAGGCCCAGGAAACCUGAGUGGGCUUCUUCCCCGGCCCUGGCUGUCUCCCUUGUGAAGUCAACCUAAGUCCUAAAAGUUCCAAGCGAGGCCAGGAUAAAGCAAGCUGUACUAACUGCAGCCUCCCUCCCCACAGUCCCUCCUCUCUGAGUGUGUCAGCACAAUUGUCAUCUCGUCUCCCUUGGUCUAAUUAACUCAUUACUAAUAUUCCAUCUCCCCCAGCCCUGGCUAGACUGGUGGCAAAGGUGACCCUGGUGACACGUGAAGGGGGCUCAAUAUCAUAGGACGGUUGCAUAAAUGUCACUGCCAUUGUCACCUCUAGCCAGGGUUCCAUCUGAGAUCACAAACCCUCCACAGCCCUUGGGACCUCCUGCUCCCUUUUCAGACAGGCAGGUCUCUGUGAUGUCCCGGAGAGAGGGGGACUCCAGAGAAAGACUGGCAGGAGACUCCUGGAGCAAUAAGAGUGGCAGCCAGAAUCCAGGUGGAGUCUCUCUCUCUCUGCUCCCCUGUAUCCAGGCUGUUCACGCGACUUAUUCUAAUAGACUGUUCUAGAAGCUUCUGUUUUUGCUGACUUGGAAUGCUUCUCCAAUGCGUCUACAUGCGGAAACUGUUCUUACCUACUAGAAGAUGAGAGGCCAUGUGAAGGAGAACCGAGGCCGUCUAGGCAGUGCCAACUACCACACCAGUGCUGCUGUAUUCCCUCCAGCACAGCUGGCCCUCCUGCCAACCAUGAGCCAUGAGUAAGGCCAGAUGCAGUCAGCAGAGAAACCACCCACAGAAUUGUGAAAAAUCAUACUGGGCUGUUUGAAGUUAUUAUGUUAGGAGGGCUGCUUUGCACAGCAAAGCCUCACCAACACAGCGUAAGAAGCCACCAGGAUUUCCACUCUGGUGUCCCACAUCCUGGAGGGGGACCUCUCCAGAGGCAGAGACUGACCGUGGAGCUGGUGAG